rnacentral:rRNA from 1 species
CCUANGGGAGGCAGCAGCUAAGAAUAUUCCGCAAUGGACGAAAGUCUGACGGAGCGACGCCGCGUGGAUGACGAAGGCCGAAAGGUUGUAAAGUCCUUUUGUUGGGGAAGAAUAACCAUGGGAGGGAAUGCCCGUGGGAUGACAUGAACCGACGAAUAAGCCCCGGCUAACUACGUGCCAGCAGCCGCGGUAACACGUAGGGGGCGAGCGUUGUUCGGAAUUACUGGGCGUAAAGGGCAUGUAGGCGGCUUUGUAAGCCCGGCGUGGAAGCCCACGGCUCAACCGUGGGAUUGCGUUGGGAACUGCGAGGCUUGAAUCAUGGAGAGGGAGCUAGAAUUCCUGGUGUAGGGGUGAAAUCUGUAGAGAUCAGGAAGAAUACCAGUGGCGAAGGCGAGCUCCUGGCCAAUGAUUGACGCUGAGGUGCGAAAGUGUGGGGAUCAAACAGGAUUAGAUACCCGUNUANUC